rnacentral:rRNA from 1 species
GAUGAACGCUGGCGGCGUGCUUAACACAUGCAAGUCGAACGAUGAAGCCCAGCUUGCUGGGUGGAUUAGUGGCGAACGGGUGAGUAACACGUGAGUAACCUGCCCUUGACUCUGGGAUAAGCCUGGGAAACUGGGUCUAAUACUGGAUAUGACUUCUCAUCGCAUGGUGGGGGGUGGACAGAUUUAUUGGUCUUGGAUGGACUCGCGGCCUAUCAGCUUGUUGGUGAGGUAAUGGCUCACCAAGGCGACGACGGGUAGCCGGCCUGAGAGGGUGACCGGCCACACUGGGACUGAGACACGGCCCAGACGCCUACGGGAGGCAGCAGUGGGGAGUAUUGCACAAUGGGCGCAAGCCUGAUGCAGCGACGCCGCGUGAGGGAUGACGGCCUUCGGGUUGUAAACCUCGUUCAGUAGGGAAGAAGCGAGAGUGACGGUACCUGCAGAAGAAGCGCCGGCUAACUACGUG